ACACCCAACACGAAGAAUCAUUAAACACACAAUCAAAAAGGCAGGGAUUUAUCAGUGAUUUAUUGGCCCAGAUGAGCAGGAAGGAUCAGGGUGUUGCUGGAGACGGCUGCAAGCAGGACUCUGUCCAGGGAUCUCACCUCUGUUUCCUCCUCAGUGGCGCCUCCUUCUCUCCUCCUGCAGGAGGGAACGCGGCCGGCAUCUCAGCUUCGCCAUCUAGAGGGAAAGGGGCCCCCAGGUCUGACUGGUGUGGCUCAAGUCCACCUCCCCCCCGCAUGACUCCAGGGGGGCCAGGGUCAAGGCAGAGAAUGGGAUCUCCAUUUGGACCAUGUGGUGAGGGCGGGAUGAGGAGAGACCCCUACUUGGAGGGAGGUCUGUCUGCUCAGGCAUCCCGUGGCAGCACCCGAGUUUCUGAUCACCAAGGAAUACCAGACACGGGUGGGACGGCCCCACGGAUGGUGCGGCAGAGGGUCACGACGCCUUAAAGCCAUGUCGCUGUUGGGAGACGCCACCCUACACCUCAGCUUUGGUGGUGCCUCUGCAGCCUCUCGGUCAAGGCUCUCCCUUGCCAGCUGCCCCCCUGCACCUUUCUUAGUACUUGAUCCUCCUUGAAGUCAUUGUAAUGGAAAUGUCACUCCAUUCUUCCCUACGCUCUGCAGUCACUGGGACAACAAGGGUGCAGGCUCCCUGGCUGCUCAGAGGAGGGACUGGCCGGGCCUGGCUUGGCCCCCUUUCUGGUGAUGGGGGAGUCGGUCUCCUUGGGGUUCCAAGGCGGCCCAGUGAUAGCCAGGUUCCCACCUCCCUAUUUCCAGGUGUCCCUCCCAGGGGGCCCCCAAAAGCUCAGAAAUCCUUCUCUUUUGCCUGAUUUUUGUGUUUUUCCACUUGCCCCCUACUCCAUGCCCUUUGUGGAUGGAAAGUCCUGGUCACUGUAUCCCUGCCCGGGAGCCCACGCCCAACGCUCCCCCUGCCCCCCGUCUCUGGGCCCCUCUGCCCUGGGCAACUGGGGCCUCACCUGUGGGGCUUUGGGCUCAGAAACUGGGUCCCCCUGAAGAUGGCCCAGCUGGGAACCCCACACCAAAACAUUAAUCGACCCUCAAGCCCCGGGGCCCCGGGGCGCCCAGGAGGCCCCAAGCCCUCCAGUCAUGCUGCCCCCCAGGGCGGCCCUGGAAGACUGGCCUUUGGCCUGGCGCUAGUGUCCCCCAGUUCAAGUCCCAGCCACUUCCGCCUGCACUCUUCUUGCUUCUGGCUUAGGCAAUUUAUCCAGGCUCUAUGCCUGCCUUCUGCCGGUGCAGCCAGGUCCCCAGUACGCCCAGACCCUGCCCCUCUGUGCUUGUAAGUCACUGGGACCCUCAGCCUGGCUUCCGCCUUGAAGAUGCUUUUGCCUGGGUUCAAGCCUGGCCUGAGUGCUGCCCGGGAACCCGCUGACGUGAGGAGGGCAUCCACACUUAUCUCCUCCUCAGCCCUGUCAGUGCUCCCACCUGGGUGUUUCAGAGUCAGAACACAAAGCCCUAGGAGUGUAUCUGGGGAGCCCUCCUGACUCUCUGGGAGGGUGGCCCGCCACCGUGACUGGGAGGCAGCAGCAGCGCCGUACCCUUAAGCACACAUGGCGGCUGUGUUUCUAGGCGGCACAGAAAUAACGCAAGUGCAAUCAGCAGCAGUGUGUCAAGGGGGAAGGUGCUCAAGGGCACCCCCAGUGACCAGAUGUCACCCUCAGUUAUCAUGUGACCCAGGAGCAAGGCGCCACGUCAGCUCCUGCAGGGCAAAGGUCUGGAAGUGAAGUGAUGUAGCCACCACCAGUCCGCGCCACGUGUCCCCCUUGCCGUUCUAGGGGGCACACACUGCCCUGAUCCUUCCAACUUGCCCCUGACCCACCCAACCUUCUGCCCCAGGCUGCACCUUGCACACGCCUUAGCAACCGGCUCUGCUGCUGGGGGGCAGGGGGAAGCCUGGUUUGUAGUGUUCGUCACUUUCUGUGGUGUAAGUGUCCCCAUCACAGCCAAUUUCAAGCUACCAAAGUGAUGUCACUGAACACAGACUUGUGAAGGGGUGCAUAGUAGGCAGCAUUAUAGUGUAUCUCCCUCCUACAAAUACAACAGGUGUAUGUAUCCUCCAGGAUGUAGACAAUAUAAACAGUAAAACUAGGAAGGGAUGAGUUUUGAGUAUUUAUUACCUUUGUUUUUAAUAGAAAUUAUUUAAUUUUAAGUUUAUAAAAUUUAAGCUUUGAAAAUGGCUAUGUUCAACACCAGCUCAUAGAAAUCCUGAACAUUUAGCGAGCGGGCACAAACUGACUACAGGACACCACUGCCUCCUGCCCAGGUGGGACCUGGCCCAGGGCCUGGACCCAGCACUCCUCAAGAUCACUGCUCCGUGGCCUGUGCUCCAGCUGCCCCUCUUAGAGCUCACGCCAUCACUUUGGCCCCUCGUCCUUCUCCAGGAGACCCCACUGACCUCAAAGCCUCUAGCAUCCAACUCGUUGCCUCAGCUUUUUCCCGGGGCCAGGCUGACCUCUGGCCCAGCACCGCUCUCUGGAAGGUGUCCUCAGGCAGCCCAACCCUCCUCCAGCUCUGACCAUGUUUUCUUAUUUCUCCAGUUCCCUCCUCUGAGAUCCCAUCCAUUCCCAGGCUUCAACUGACACCUUAAAGAGACGACUCUGUGUAGGUCUCUCUAGGCCUGACUUGCUGCGAAUUCUACAAGCUCCUCCUGGAAAUCUGCCCAUCACUUCAGUCUGGUGCUGGUGCCCUGCCCUGAACUGUGGCUGUCUGCAAAGGCCAGGACUUCUUCCUAGAAGAUGGACAGCAACUCACAGGCCAGUGGAACCUUGUCUCCUGCUGCGAGUUUAGCCAAGCUCCUCUGUGAUGUUGCUGCAGCAUCUGUUGUGUGGCUGACGCUGCAGAGGCUUUGAACUGACCCCAGCCCUCUCGCUAGUGCGUGGCCGAGGAACAGCCUGCAGCUCAGAGCUCCUUUGAUUUGGGCCAAGUACUUUCCAGCCUACCGCGUGAGCCCUGGCAUCUGACUAGAUCUCAAACCUCUACCUGCCUAUUAUAUUCCCACCAAGGGUCAUAAUUUAAG